rnacentral:lncRNA from 1 species
GACCCAAAACCAGACCCAAAACCAGCACCAGGCACCAGACCCAAAACCAGACCCAAAACCAGACCUGGGCCUGCCAGACCUAACCUGGUAGUUAAAAUUCAACCCAUGACCUAGCAACUGAUGUUAUCCAUAGAUUCCAGACAUUGUAUGGAAGGACAUUGGGAAACUUCCCGUUCUGUUCUGUUUCACUCUGACUACCAGUGCAUGCAGCCCCUGUCACAUACCCCCUAGAUUGCUCAAUCAAGCACUGCCCUUUCAUGUAAAAUCUUCAGCAUUGUGAGCCCUUAAAAGGGAGAGAAAUUGUGCACUCGAGAAGCUCAGAUUUUGAGACAUUAGUCUGCUGUUGCUUCCAGUUGAUUAAAGCCACUUCCUUCACUUCCUCGGUGUCUGUGAGGUUUUGUCCUCUGCUCGUCCUGCUACAGCCCAGGCUGUUGAACUCCUGGGCUCCAGCGAUCCACCCACCUUGGCCUCCCAAAGUGCUGAGAUUACAGGCAUGAGCCACCACACCCAGCUGAGUUAUUUUAAAAUUGUUUUAUCAAAUCCCUGUGAUAAACUAUUGGCAAAGGUGACAGGACUCAACAAAAGAAAUGACAUGAGCUCUCUGUGAACAGGAGCUUUGUUGAAAAGAGAAAAGCAAACACAUAUGAUAAUGUAGGACGGAAUGUGAAAUUUUGGGUAAGUACAUAUUCACUUUCAAGCCUGAUCUUACAAAUAAAUUCUUAUUAAUUAGCAUUUUCUAUUAACAGAAAAUCAAUUGAAUUAACUAGUAGUCUUUCUGAAUGGUUUUAUCCUAAUUCCUAUGGUUUAUGUGUCUUAGAAUUGCUCAACAAAUACAGUUUAAUUUUAAUUUCGGGUCCUGGCUUAAGAUCUGAAUUCAAGUACACCUCUUUUAAACUUAUACCUGUUGUCAAUCCCAAUUUUAUUGAAUGAUUCCUGUAUCUGCUCCUGCAUUGGAACUUUCAAGUCUUUUUUAGAUUAUAUAAUCUUAAUAAAAAAAAUUUUUAAGCAGAAAAAAAGUAAUAUUCUUAGUCAGAAAAAAGUAGUUAAAUAUGUAACUUAGUCAGAAAAAAAUAGUUAAAUAUGUAAGAAUGAAUGUAUAACUACUUGGGAAUAUUAUAUUGUAAAACCAGUCAGUUUUUGAAAAAUGUAAUUAUUAUUGUAAUUAAAAUUUAUAUGAGAAAAACCAAUAUCUAACAGCUUAGCUCAACAAGAAGGAAAUGUAAAAGAAAAUGUGUGAAAGACAAUUUAUAGUCUUCAAAUUCAAAUUAAAAAUCAUUUAAUAUUUUAAAAUACCCCUCUAAAACUGUAUGAAAAGCUUAGAUGCACUAUAUAUAUAUAAACACGGUUAUAUAUAUAUGUAUAUAUAUAAAAUAUAGAGUUUAUAUGUGUAUAUAUAUAAAAUAUAGAGUUUAUAUGUGUAUAUAUAUAAAAUAUAGAGUUUAUAUGUGUAUAUAUAUAAAAUAUAGAGUUUAUAUGUGUAUAUAUAUAAAAUAUAGAGUUUAUAUGUGUAUAUAUAUAAAAUAUAGAGUUUAUAUGUGUAUAUAUAUAAAAUAUAGAGUUUAUAUGUGUAUAUAUAUAAAAUAUAGAGUUUAUAUAUGUAUAUAUAUAAAAUAUAGAGUUUAUAUAUGUAUAUAUAAAAUAUAGAGUUUUAUAUAUGUAUAUAUAAAAUAUAGAGUUUUAUAUACGUGUAUAUAUAAAAUAUAGAGGUUUAUAUACGUGUAUAUAUAAAAUAUAGAGGUUUAUAUACGUGUAUAUAUAAAAUAUAGAGGUUUAUUUAUGUGUAUAUAUAAAAUAUAGAGGUUUAUAUAUGUGUAUAUAUAAAAUAUAGAGGUUUAUAUAUGUGUAUAUAUAAAAUAUAGAGGUUUAUAUAUGUGUAUAUAUAAAAUAUAGACGUUUAUAUAUGUGUAUAUAUAGACAAUUGACUAAAUUUAGAGUAAUAGAUAAAAGAAUGUAAAUAGAAAUAUCAACAAAAGUCAAAAUUCGGUUAUGUCUCGCAGUCAGAUAAUUGCUCUAUUGUGUAUCAGGAGAGAAGUUGUAGCACAUAAGAGAUAGAAAAAAAAUCCAAAAAAUCAUUUUUUUCAUUUAUGUAACACCAACACGUCAUAGAGGGAAAUUUUGUUAUCCCAAUAUUAUGAAAGAAUAUACAGAUACCAGAAAACUUAAAUAUGUUUUAUUAUUUUCUAGCUUUGCAAUCAUUUCUAUUUCUAUUGGAUAUCCUGUGUGAAUACUAACCAGGAUGUUAAAUUGGAAAUAGAAAAUUAGAAAGAAUAAUGCAUUAAAUUUACUACCAACC